rnacentral:rRNA from 1 species
GGUAGUCCAUGCCGUAAACGAUGAGUGCUAGGUGUUGGAGGGUUUCCGCCCUUCAGUGCCGCAGCUAACGCAUUUAAGCACUCCGCCUGGGGAGUACGACCGCAAGGUUGAAACUCAAAGGAAUUGACGGGGGCCCGCACAAGCGGUGGAGCAUGUGGUUUAAUUCGAAGCUACGCGAAGAACCUUACCAGGUCUUGACAUCUUGCGCUAACCUAAGAGAUUAGGCGUUCCCUUCGGGGACGCAAUGACAGGUGGUGCAUGGUCGUCGUCAGCUCGUGUCGUGAGAUGUUGGGUUAAGUCCCGCAACGAGCGCAACCCUUGUUACUAGUUGCCAGCAUUCAGUUGGGCACUCUAGUGAGACUGCCGGUGACAAACCGGAGGAAGGUGGGGACGACGUCAGAUCAUCAUGCCCCUUAUGACCUGGGCUACGCACGUGCUACAAUGGGCAGUACAACGAGGAGCGAACUUGUGAAGGCAAGCGAAUCUCUGAAAGCUGUUCUCAGUUCGGACUGUAGGCUGCAACUCGCCUACACGAAGCUGGAAUCGCUAGUAAUCGCGGAUCAGCACGCCGCGGUGAAUACGUUCCCGGGCCUUGUACACACCGCCCGUCACACCAUGAGAGUUUGUAACACCCAAAGCCGGCCGGAUAACCUAGUUUACUAGGAGUCAGCCGUCUAAGGUGGGACAAAUGAUUAGGGUGAAG